UUAACUCAGAUUUGUAUGGAGUUGAAACGUUUGCCUACGUUUGCCGCUAGGCACGCUGUUCCAACUGCAUACAAAUUUGAGUUA
rfam:Bombyx mori DNA, contig: Bm_scaf12_contig9620, strain: p50T/Dazao, build 2, whole genome shotgun sequence.